rnacentral:SRP_RNA from 1 species
UCGGGGCUUUAGCGGUGCCUUGUAACCCUCAAUCCGCUGUAGAGGGGAUGAAAACUUGCCAUGAGGGAUAUCUUUGUUUGGUCUGCCUCGCAUAAGUGGUGUUGACGGUUUGGUCUUACGCAAUUGGAACCUGUGAACCUCGUCAGGGCGGGAACGCAGCAGCGAUAAGCAGUCAUUCUGAUGUGCCGUAAGGGUGCCAAACUUGAGCUAACUGUGGGAGUAACGCUUGUA